rnacentral:rRNA from 1 species
AGCAGCCGCGGUAAUUCCAGCUCCAAUAGCGUAUAUUAAAGUUGUUGCAGUUAAAAAGCUCGUAGUUGAAUUUCGGGGUUAGUAGGUUGGUCAUGCCACUGGUAUGUACUGGCCUCACUGAUUCCUCCUUCCUGAUGAGCCGUAAUGCCAUUAAUUUGGUGUUGCGAGGAAUCUGGACUGUUACUUUGAAAAAAUUAGAGUGUUUAAAGCAGGCUAACGCUUGAAUACAUUAGCAUGGAAUAAUGAAAUAGGACGUUCGAUCCUAUUUUGUUGGUUUCUAGGAUUGACGUAAUGAUUAAUAGGGAUAGUUGGGGGCAUUAGUAUUCAAUUGUCAGAGGUGAAAUUCUUGGAUUUAUUGUAAGACUAACUAACUGCGAAAGCAUUUGCCAAGGAUGUUUUCAUUAAUCAAGAACGAAAGUUAAGGGGAUCGAAGACGAUCAGAUACCGUCGUUAGUCUUAACCAUAAACUAUGCCGACUAGGGAUCGGAUGAUGUUAAUUUUUAAUGUACUCAUU